GAUUUGUUAUUGUUUCUCAUAUAUUUGCAUAAACACAUUACAUUGUUUUUGUGCUCACUGCAGAAGAUACAAUGAUUUAGUUUUACUUACAACACUGCAUAGGAACUCAAUACAAUAUUCACUAAAUGCUUGUGGAAAGUGCAGAAAGGUACUGAUAGGGUCUCGUAUGAGAACACAAUGAUUUUACCCACAACAGAACCUAGGAACUACAUGCAAUUGCAAAAUCGGUACUAAGAAGCAGAAUACCAAUGCCCUUUAUGAAGGUUUCCACGAAGACAGAGGUGGAGUUUCAGAGUCUUCGUAGGUAGGAGUGACACCCCCAUACCGAUGAACCCUUACAGCAUCUGCUGAAGCAAUGGAUUCAAGCUCAGCCAUUUCUUCUGGAGAAAGUUUCACUGACAGAGCUUUAAUAUUUUGAUUCAGGUUUUCAAUCUUAGUGGUUCCAGGAAUCGGACACACGUCAUUUCCUUGGUGAUGAACCCAUGCUAAUGCAAGCUGAGAUGGGGUGCAUCCUUUCUUUACUGCUAUUUCAUUAACACGUUCAAAUAGCUUUUUGUUAUGCUCUAAAUUUUCAGGUUGGAACCUCGGUUGAUGCUGCAAGAUUUAGAAAACAGCUCAGUACCAAUACUGAACUGCAAUUGAAUCAUUAAAAAAAAAGAACAUCAUUUUGGAUAAAGCAUGAUUUUAGAGGAGGUUUAUGUAAAAUUCAAUAGACCAGAAAACAAAGAAAAAGGACUAGGCGGGGACUUCUCCUAGGUGGAGGAUGUUUAUAGUAAAACAUUUUGGCAUGUUAGACAAAGGUCUCACAAGAAAUAAACUCUCCUUGGACUUGUCAAUUGAUUUCACAUUGACGUGCAUAGGCAAAGCAAUAUAUAACAAAAAUGGAAACUGCCACAAGGAUGUAGAAGUUUGGAAGAGUCGUUACAGCUAAACUUCUGGAGCAUCCAGUAAUAGUUUUGAGGUAAUGGAACAAUUUUUUUCCCUCAUUUUUUUUUCACCUCUAUACAACUUAAGGGGUAUUAUCAUGUAUAUAAAUUGAAUCAGUCAUGUUAAAAUUUUCUGUCCAUCAAUGAAGUCAUUGCAUAGAUAAUUCCUCAGAUUUUCAAUGCAAAGAAAGCUUUUGCUCAUAUUUGAGGAGGUUAAUGAACAUAAUCUGAGGGAAACAAUUGAAAUCUAUGAAGAAUUUCAGAGCUAUAGAGUAAAACUAAACAAGAAUUAUUAUUGUAUUGCUAAAUGAGAAUGAAUGUGUAAUAAAGAACACAAGUAAUGCAAAUAUGAUGAAAGUAAAAAUACAUGAUUAGUAAACACCAAACAUUUAGCUAAUGAUGAAUAAGUUUUGGUAGACAAGUCACUUCAAAAAGGAUUACAGUGUAUUCAGUCCUUAGUAAUUGAAUUUUCAUUUUUCCUCAAUCCUCUCCAUGCAAUCCAUACACAGGCAACUUCAGUGUAAUUAGUCGAUCGAAAUGAACUAGUAGAAUAUCUAAGAAAGAGAAUUCUUAAACAAGUCCUCCUGGGUUAGGUUAGAAUAACUAUAACUAUGGCUCUAGAUAAAUAUCAGAGGUUUAUAAGAUAAAAUAGUAUGCAAGUCACUGUAGAGUAUCUUGAGAGAAGGUUUUAAACAUGCUUGCAGACAUCGAAUAAUAAAUGCAUGGUAGGCUUACGAACAUGUCUAGAAUCAUCCGGUGCAAUGCUUUCAACCAACUUUGGUCCGGAUGAAAGAAACCCACAUCCUAGAGGACUGUAAGCAACAAUUCCAAUGCCAAGUUCCCUGAGCAGAGCAACCACCAAAAUUGCGUUAGCAUGCAAAUGUUAAAUCAUCUACUCAUAAUUUCUUUUCCUUUCAACUAGGUCAAAACAAUUCAUUUGAAAUUGUUGUUCUUUUCUCUUAAAUUUCAAUUGCUUGAGAAAGAACUUCAACGAAGACGACAACCAAAUGUUCUUGUAACAUACGUCCCACAAAUAAUGAUAACUCUUUUAAUAUGUAUUAUAUUUAAGCUGUGUAAUUAACUAAUGUAUUGUUAUCUUUCCUUUUUUGUGAACUGUAUCAUGAAUGCUUCAGUGGAUGUAAAUUAUUGUUCGCAACAAUAAUGUUAUUAGCUUCUCUUAUUAAUAUAUUUGCUUCUCUUGUUUUGUCAGUUGACUUAUAUAUUAUAUUUGAAGUUACUGAUAAUUGCUGCACAUUAAAAACACAUUUAUUCUUUAGGAGACAAUUAAAGAAUAACACAUCUACAGCAUAUCCCUCCACCAUUGCAGUAGCACACAAUUAAAGAAUAACACAUCUGCAGCAUAUCCCUCAAUUCCAGUAGCACACAACUAAAAAAUAAUACAUAUGCAGCAUAUCCCUCCACCAUUCUAGUAGCACACAAUUAAAGAAUAACAUAUAUGCAGCAUAUCCCUCCACCAUUCCAGUAGCACACAAUUAAAGAAUAACACAUCUGCAGCAGACCCCUCCACCAUUCUGUAGCACACGACUAAAAAAUAACACAUUUGCAGCAUAUAAAUCUAAUAAAGGAUCAUGCUUAGAACCUACUAGUGUACACCAAUAUUUCAAUACCACAUAGUUAAAAACCACCGAUAUGCCAUUAAAGGAAAAAUAUACCAUUACAAAAAUAAAUUAAUGUAUGAAAUCCACAAGCUCACAUAACAUAGCCAAGGGCUUGCCCUCUUUAUUAUUAAUGAUAAUAAAACAAAAACAAUGCUAUUCUACGAAAUCACUUCGAAACUCCUUAUCAACUUCAUAUUCACUAUCUUGCUGAAAGAGUAGUUGGUGAAAAUGGCCAUGUGACUGGAAUUGUGGUUCCUAUUAAAAGAAAAAUUAAAUAUUUUCUUAUAAUAAAAGAAAAUAAAGUAGAUAAGAUGAGUAAAUACUAAAUUUAUCACCACUUACCGUAUAAGAAUUUUGUGUAGGUGUUGGAUAAACAUUAUCCCCAACUAUAUGAUGUAAGCUCAUAAGACCUUAAACCAAACAUACGUUAAAUGAAGCGAAAAUUAAAAAAAAAUCAUAACAUAUAGUGUGAAAAACUUACAUUACAAUAGUCCAUAACUCAAUGUGGGUACAUAUUCAUAUCAACACAACUUCCUUCAGGAUUUUGAAAUGCUUACAGAGGAUCAACAAUAUAUUAGAAAAAUGUCUAUGAUUAAGUAAUAAAAAUCAAUGGCAUGCCUAUGAAUUCCAUAAAACCUACCGUAACAACAUUGUUCUCGUGUGUUGGGAUCACAGUCGGCACUUGAUCGUUAUCUUGCAAAGUCAACAAAACGUACAUUUGAGCAUCAUUUAUCUCAUAAAUUAUUUAACUUUAAUUAAAUUGAAAAUACAUUUUAAAAGUACCUUUGCAUUGGAAUGUGAGGAAUUCAUUUUAGAUUUCGAAAAUUUAUUAGACUUUUUUCUUUGACAAGGUGGCCGACCGUUACGACGCCGAUCUACUGGAUCUCUAACUGUUUCUACUUCCACACUACAACUUCCUUGGCCUGUAACAACAGUUACUUCGUUACCUCCGCAUGGAACUGCCUUCGAUAAAUCCUCCUAUACAUUUUUAAUCCAAUUGAAAACAAGAUUAGAGCUUUCAAUAUUAUGUGCAGCCAUAUUUGCAACCUCCGCGAAAGUAGCACACAUUUUCUCAUAUCGUUUUUGUUCAUCUGUGCAACUAUGCAGCUCAUAACUCAUUUUCACUCUACUGUGGCAUCUCCACACAUCUUUUCUCCAUCUUCGUAGAAUAUACUUUUUUGGAAGUACUUCCACGUCAUUGCGGAUCAUGAUUGUAACGGCAUGCCUGCAAAGAAUACCUCUAAACUGGAACCUUGAGUAGCUGCAACGUAUUUCACCAUUUCUUUUUCAAAAUGUACUUAAAAAAAGGUUCUCUUUUUACCCUCUCCAACUUUGACAUCCUCUCUAACUAUAUAUUCACAAUCCAUAGAAUUGACAAAUUCGCAAUACAUUUUCCCAAUCAAUUCUUGCUGAAAUUCUUGAAAUUUUGAAAUAGUGUACACAUCUCAGACUUGCCUCUCCAUUGCAUAAGAUGUUACACAUGGCAUUUGUUGGGAAAGACACCUGACAUCUUUUUCAACUUCCUUCUGAACUUUAUUCUUCAAUGCACAACUGUAUUGCUCUACAAACUGCUUCAAAGUAGUCUUUGAGUUAACAUAACCAUAAAAAAAUGCAUUCAUGCUCUCACUGCGUUGAGUAGAUGACAUUCCUGCCCAAAAAGUAUUGUUUAGAUAACAAGGUACCCAAUGGUGUGUCUCAUCAUAUAAGCCUCGUAACCAUUCGUUAUCCCCCAAAUCAUAUUCUACAAUCAUAUGGUGCCAAGUUUCCUCAAAUUGCGCAGCACUCUGGGAAUCAUAAACAGCACAAUGCAACACAUUACUAAUGUCACGAUAUUCUUUAUAACCCCCUAGCUUCUCUGGAAUUUUCUUCAUUAUGUGCCAUAAACACCACCGAUGUCGAGUAUUGGGGAAGACAUUCUGAAUUGCAACUUUUAUUGCCAUGUCUUGAUCUGUAAUGAUUCUAAUGGGAGUUGAAUUAGACAUGCAGAAUAAUCAUGUUCGAAAUAACCACGUGAAUGUCUCAAUAUCUUCGUGUGAAAUCAAUCCACACCUAAACAAAAUAGAAUGCCCAUGAUGAUUAAUUCCUACAAAUGGAGCGAACAACAUGUCAUACUUAUUUGUAAGAUACGUGGUGUCAAAUGUAACAACGUCUCCAAACUCUUUGUACGCUUUCCUAUUCCUUGUCUCGGCCAAAAAAACAUUUUUUAAUCGUCCCUCAUCAUCCACUUGCAUACUAAAGUAAAACCUAUUAUCUUUUGCUUGCACUUUCAUAAAAUAGUUUUGAAGAGCAGUAUCAUCUCCAUCUCCAAGCCGUAAUCUUCUUUCUUUCUGAACAUGAUUUCUACAAUCUCUUUCUAUGAAUGACACGUUUUCAUGACCGCCAGCCUCAAUAACAAGUGAUUGAUAAUUUUUGCACAAUUUGAUUCCUGCUCGAUCAUUUACAUCAAACUUCUUUUUUGCAUAUGUAUUGAGGCUACGAUUGCACCAAAAACACUUGGAUUUGGUUGGAGUUAACAGUGCAUGGUUAUUGACACAACUUAAAAGUAAUUUUUAACUCCUAAGUACUCCCAAGUAUAAGAGUGUCUUGUUGUAUUAUAACUCGAUGAGUCCGAGGUCGAUCCACAGAGAAAAUAUUUAAUUAAUUUAUUUUAUUUUAACUAAAAAUUGAAAUUUAAACUUGAAUAUAAAGAACUUAAUUUAAAUGAAACUAUGAAAUUGAACUAGUUAAGGUUGUGGAUAUACUCUUAGUAGUAAAUAAAACUUCUAUUUUUUUAGAUUUAUUGCCCAAAAGAUUAAUUAUAUAUAUUAUUAUUAUUUUUCCUUUAAUUUUAUGAUGGAUUAAGUAUUUAUUGUGACAAAAUUUAAUUUGUCUACAAUUAGUCAAAAUACCAUUUUACCAUACCUUAUAUUAAGAUGUUAAGAAUUUAUUGUGCCAAAUUCAUUUGUUUGUCUACAAUAAAUCAAAAUUUUAAAAUAUAAAAUAUGUAUAAAAUUAAAUAGAAAAUAAUUUAAUUUAUAAAAUUAAAAAUAGAAUUUGAUUAAAUCAUAUUUAUUUCCUAAGAGUUUCACCUUACCCUAACUAAUAUUAUUUAGUUAAGUAUAAUUGAAAAAAAGAAUUAUUAAAAUUAAAUUAAAAAUAAUUAAAAGUAAUAAAAACAACUUAAAUUGAAAAUAAAACUAAAUUUAUUAAUUAAAAAAAUUAUACAAAAUAUUAAAAACACACCUGAAAAUCAAGAUUAUAGGGAGAUGAAGAGAAUUUGAGAAGAAGAGAGAUGUAGAGAGAUGAUUAAAAACAUAAAAAUGAGCCUCUAUUUAUAAAAAAAUAAAUUCAUAAUCCAGUGUUUUGUGGUCCAUCAUAAACUUCAUGCAUGUGCUCCUCACAACCAUUAGAUCAAGAUCCAACGAUUGGUAAAACUUCAAAAGUCAACAUCACACGUGGCAUCAUUUGACUUGUCCGAUUUGGUCAAAGAACGGUUGAGAUUUGGCGGGUUAAUGGGUGGAUCGGGUCGACCCGAUUACAAAGAUUCGGAUCCUACAACUUGCUUCACCAACCAUUGCCAUGUGGCACAAUCAUGGCCAUUGAAUCAUGAAUGGUUGAGAUUUAGUCAAAAUUGCCAGCUAUCCCAUACACUCAUAUCUAUUGUAAGCUCAUUUCAUCAUCCAAUUAGUGGUCGGUCAACAGAAAAAGUCAACUCUUUUUACACAAGCCCAAUUUUAAGCCAAUCUUGACUGAUCUUAAGGUUUUCGGACCUCCAGAAUCCAAAUUUGACCUCCGUUUAUCUGUUUGGAGCCUCGAAUUAUGGGAAAUUAAUAUUUUACCUAAUAAACAUAUAAAAAUACACAAAAUUAAUAUAUUUAAAACAUAAUUAAUAAUUCCUAAUAUAUUACAUAAACACAAAUAUAAAUUAUAACAUAAGCACAAAAUAAUACUAUUAUCGCUUGAUAAUUAAACAAUUUUUAAUACUAAUAAGUUGUGUUCAAGAUUUAAGCUUCGAAUUGUCUACUUUCCAUCAUCCCCUAACCCAGCUCCCAAUCUUGCAUUGCAACUUGUUUUGCAUUAGGUUGGGGCUUUAAAAUAUUCACAGAUUUGCUUCUUGUCUCACCAUUUCUCCUACAAGCAAAAGUCACAUUUCUAAGAAUCUCAUUACUAUCCUUUCUACUAGUUCUCCUCAAAACCGGAAACCCUUUUCUUUUACCGUACUCCUUGAAAUAAAUAAACAGAUCGGUAUCACUAUCGAAUGACAUCCCAAUUAUUGGCUCAUCGUUCUCCUCAAUUUUCUCCAACUCUUCAACUUCGAUGUCUUUUUCCAUAUUCUUUAUUUCUACAAAAUUGAAAUAAUUCACAUUGACAAAAUGGAAGUAACAAAAUGAAAAUAAUUCAGCACAACUUUACAAAACUAAACUAACUAAUGAUAUAAAUUGUGAACACAAAUUUAAUAUAUACCAGCUGAAUCUACAGCAUAUAUUUAUUUAUUUCGUGCUUACUAUUAACUUUGUAAUACACAUGAAUGUUUGUUGCAUCCUGCCUGAGGCUAGACUUGCAAAUCAAACUUAUAAAAUUCUAUGGCUGCCGAUCAUGCUCCAUAUCAUGUUUUGUUGCAUAAUCAUCCGUAAUUACUAGACAAUUAACAUAAAAUUCUAUGGCUGUCGAACAUGCUCCAGAUCAUAUAAAUUAACAUAAUAGCAGCUAAGAUGUCACAAAUUAAUAAUUAGUACAAAAAAAUUCCAGUUAAUGAAGCAAACUACCUACAGAAAUUGAUUGCCGCAAUCGAGGAUGAGUGAAGUCAGUCACCAAGAUGCAACUCAAUUCCUCACACAACCAAGAGAAUGAUACACCGUGACAGAGAGCCGACAUAUUUCACACAAUGAGGAAGAGUCCACGAGUAUAACAGAAAAUGCCUUGGGAGAAUUAGUUGUUCAAAUUUCUAACUUGAAUGAGGAGUGGAUUUGAUGUGAAUGAGAGUGAGAGUGAUGGAGAAUGCGUGUGUGUGAGAUCUAAUGCGCGUGUAGUGUAUUUGUUUGUUCAAACAAUAGCCUUUUAUAUUGAACACAAAACGCACCGUUCAGUACUUAUUGUGGUGCUUAUUGUGGGCUGAAUAUCGGUACUGUAAAUUUUGUCAUUCACUUGAUAUUUAGGAGAUCAGGUCGAGACCUUUUUCUUAAUGAUAAUGAUGAGGGAAAGCAUCCAUUGCUCAAGACAUUAAUGGAAAACGAUGAUGAAAAUUAAUUCAUGUAUGACAUGCAUACCCUAACUCUUCUUUAUGCAUAUUUUUUUUAAUUACAGAGUCUUGAGAUGCCUUUGUUUAUAGGUUUCAUUUACAAGCUUUUAAUGAAAUUAUUCUUAGCUUAUAAUGGGAUUAGAUAAUGUUCAUAUUUUGGGGAGAUUUUGUUUAUAUUAAUUUGCUUUUACUUUUUCUAUUUUUAUAAGGGGAAAUGUCACAUACACCUCCAACAUUUGCUUAAAUUGUCACAUAGCCUCUUUUAGUUUUAUAAAUUGUUACACCGAAUCCCUUUUGGCUAUUAUACCCUUAAUUACAAUAACCCAAUAAUUGACCUUAAAUAAACUUUUGUAACAAAUAUAAAUAAAAAUAAAAAUAAUAUAAUAUAAUAUAAUAGAUAAAAUAAGAUAAAAUUUAUAAAUGUUUUGAAUAUUAGAAAAGUUAUUUAACAUUAUUAUUCUAUCAUGCUCUUUUGAUAAUAAUAAAAUCUAUUUGAUAUUUUAAUAAUAUUAAAAUAAUUGUACCAAAUAUUCACAGUAAAUUAUAAAAUUUAUAUUAUUUUAUUUACGAUAUCUUUUUUUUUUUAAUUAUGUCUUUAGUAUGAAUCUUAAAGUUAAUUUUGGAUUAGUAGAUUUCAAUAUUCAUAAAAUCCAUUGGGGGUAGACUAAUAAUAAAUUAAUAUUAAAAAUAAAUUUUUUUAUAUAUGUUAUUUUAUUAAUUAUACUUACUGUAUUAUUUUAUUUAUAUCAUAUGAUAUUUAUUUAUUAUUUUUAUCUUAUUACUAUAUCUAUAUUUAUUUGGGUUGUUAUAAUCAAAGGGUAUAACAAUUAUUUUUGAAAUUAAGAGAGUAUGUGUGACCGUUUAAGCGAGCCUUGGGGAUGUAGGUGACUUUUUCCCUUUUUAUAAUUAAGUGCUCUUGAUUUCACUAACAAAUUCUUUUAAAUCGAGUGUAAUGUAAUGCAAUAUAAUUUAAGCAACACUAUGUAUUAAUGGAUUUUUAAAAUAAAAAACUUACCAAUUACCUAUUGGACUCAAAGUUGUUAUUUUUGGUAAUUUAAAUUUGUCACCAUAGUUUUUUUCGCUUUAAAUUAAAAAAUUACAAAUAAUGAAAAAAUAAUGAUAAAUUAUUACUUGGAGUAUGAAAUAAUAAUAAGGUUUUAUACGUAAGGUUUGUACUAUCUCCGAGCAACAAAAUCGCCUUCACUCGCAAUUUGAAGCCUUUUAGCUCCAGCACCAAUGACUUCUCGACGGGCAGCACUAGAUUUUUUAAUCUCUCGGCAUUCCUCCUCCACCAUUACCACCAUAGCCACCAUUAUAGAUCCUUUCUUGUUUCCUUAUUUGUUUUUCCGUACCAACAUUUUCUCUUGCAUUCUCUGCAUAUGUUAUUGAAGGGAUGGCAAAAUCCUCCACGGGUUUGGAGCCCCACCCCAAAUGGGGAAAAUUUUGAAUAAUUUUUGGGGAAUGGGGUGGGGAGUGGGGGAAAAUAAUCCCCAAUUCUUAAUGGGGUGGGGUUUGGUUUUGUACUCCCCACCCCACCCCCACCCCAAUCCCCAUUAUAUAUAAAUAUGUUUUUAAUUCUUAUUUAAUAAUUUUUAUUUUAUCAAUUAUAAUGUCAAUUAAUAAUUUUUUUUAAUUUUUAUGCAAUAUAAACAAGAUAUGAAUGAAAGAAAAUCUUAUAAUAUUUUUCAACUCUGAAACAUUGUUAUAUUUUCUUUUAUCUUUUAAGGUGCUACACUCUUUAAAUAUUUUUCACUUUUAAUAUCAUUUUAAGAUAUUGUUUCAAACUUUUAGAUAUUUUUUAAAAAGAAUUUAAAUACUUUAUAAUAUGAUGAUGAUUUUAUUUAAUUUUUAACUUACUAAAAUAAUAUAUUUAUACAUAUUAUAAAAUAGAUAAAUGGGGAAUGGGGUGGGGAUGGGGAAAUCAUUCCCCACGUGGGGAUUCUCCAUUCCCACUCCACUAAAUUUAUUGGGGAAUGGGGUGGGGAAUGGAGGCAAAAAUUUCUAACGGGGUGGGGAAUGGGGUAGGCCUCCCCACCCCCACCCCACCCCAUUGCCAUCCUUAUGUUAUUCAUCUUUGUUGAUGAAUUAAUGUCUUACCUUUUGACUAUUUGCAAAUAUAUUGAUGUUCAAUCUUAUACUCUUAUGAUUUUUUGCAUGCCCUUACUUGGAAUAUUAUAUGCUUUCUUGGUUAUUGAUAGAGGCAAAUGCCAUCGCAACUCCGCUUUGUUAUUGUUUUUAUUUUGAGUAAUAAGCAUCUUAAACAUUUUUGCUGUUAAAAGAGGAAGCCAAAAUACUAUGCCUUUUUUAUGUUGAAGGGGGAGAAGCAAUAUGUUUUUGUGGAGCAUUACUUGAUCGGUAUAUUUAAUUGAUUAUUUAAGUUUGAAAUUGAUGAGAUAUAUACAUUGUAAUUGAAAUUUUAUGAAUUUGAAAUUGGAAGAAGAAAAGAUCAAGAAAUAACAUGAAGAAGAAAAAUUGUUAUAGUAAGUGUUGGGAGACCUAGUAUAAGAUUUUUAGGUAUCCAACCCAAAAGACUAGUCUUUUAGGUGGAGUGACCUACCACUUUAUAUACCCAAUCAUCUCCCAUUUACUAGCUAAUGUGGGACACAACUCAACAAUCCCCCCCGGACGAAACCACCGUCGGAUCCCGAUCCUUUCGUCCAACACAACUGAGUUGUUUCACCACCACAUUCCGACUACUAGGGUAUAGCUCUGAUACCACUUGUUUGGGGGGGGGGGGACUAAGCGUAAGAUUUCUAGGUAUCCAACCCAAAAGACUAGUCUUUUAGGUGGAGUGACCUACCUCUUUAUAAACCCAAGUAUCUCCCAUUUUCCAGCCAAUGUGAGACACAACUCAACAAUAGAUUGGAUACCUAGAAAUCUUAUGUUAAGUCCCCCCAACAAGUGGUAUCAGAGCUAGACUCUAGUAGCCGGAAUGUGGUGGUGGAACAACUCAGGUGUGUCGGACAAAAGGACUGGAGUCCGGCGGUGGUUUCGUCCGAGGGGGGGAUUGUUGAGUUGUGUUUCACAUUGGCUAGAAAAGAGGAGAUACUUGGGUUUAUAAGGAGAUAGGUCACUCCACCUAAAAGGCUAGUCUUUUGGGUUGGAUACCUAGAAAUCUUAUGCUAAAUCCCCUCAACAGUAAGAUAAAGAAAGAGAAAGAUUAUGCACUAGGUAAAAUCUAAAUGGUUACAUAAUUAUUUAUAAACUUCUUAUUCUAAUGAGAGUAUGGUUCUAAAUCAAGAGAAUUAAGAGUCCCUUAAUGCAAGAUUUUUUCCUAAAUCAACUAGAAACAGAUGAAGACUUAAUAAUUCACCUAAGAGUUUUAGCCAAUUAAGCUACCAGGUAGGAAUCACCAAAAGUACAGCUCCACCUUACAAUUAAUUGGAAAUAUCUAUGAAAUUGUUUCCUCAUGGUGGCAUCUUUCUCUUCAGUCUUUAAGUAUUUUUGCUAUAAGGCAACAAUUAAAAUUUAGGUUGUGAUGUUUGGUAAUUGGAAUUGGAUGAAUAGACAUAAGUUAUGCAUAAGCCUUUAGUAUAUUAGUUCAUUUUCAAGAAUUUUAUUGUCAAAGUUUAUAGUUUCUAUGUUUUGUAUUUUUCAACUAAAAUAGCCAUUGGUUUAGGGGCGGGGGGACGAUUUGCCGGGUUUUUAAAUUUAAAUGUGAAGAAAAAAGGAUGUAGGAUGAUUUGUUUUAGGCAGCAUAAAAUUUGUAACACAUGACAUGUAAAAAAAAGACAUGAAAUAUGCAAAUAGUAGUUAAAUAUGUAAUGGUAGACAUUAAACAUGAGUACGAUGUAACAUGAAAUAUGGUAGUUGAUACAUGUGACAACGAUUUUAUACUUGAAAUAUGAAUAUCAAAUAUAAAACAAACAGGAGUGUAAAAUUAUUUGGCUAUAUUUAUGACAUGAAAUACUAAACUUAUAUAACAUGUGGUGUAAACAUAAAAUAUGAAAUUUACAUGUGAAAAAAUAACACGAAAUAUGCAAAAACAAAAGCUAAGUAUGCAACAUUAGACAUUAAACAUGGGUACAAUGUAAACAUGUAAUAUGAUAGUUGAUACAUGUGAUGGACGAUGUUGUACAUGAAACAUGAAUGUCAAAUAUGAAAUGAAUAGGAAUGCAAAAUUUUUUGCCUUUGUUUAUGACGUCAAACACUAAACUUAUGCAACAUAUAAUGUAAACACGGAAUUUACAUGUAAUAAAACAACAACAACAACAUGAUAUAUGCAAAAAUGAAAGUUAAGUAUGCAGCAUUAGACAUUAAACAUGGGUACAGUGUAAACAUGCAACAUGAUACUUGUUACAUGUGACAAAUGAUGUUAUAUAUGAAACAUGAACAUCAAACAUGAAAAGAGUGGGAAAAUAAAAAAUUUUGGCGUCAUUUCCAACAUUAAACACCAAACUUUAAAGAUACAACAUGUGAUGAAAACAUGAAAUAUGAAAUUUAUAUGUGAAAUAAUAAUAUGAGAUAUGAAAAAUUGAAAGUUAAAUAUGCAACUUUAGAUAUUAAACAUGAGUAUAAAGCAAACAUGUAACAUGGUGCUUGACAUAUGUGACAAACAAUGUUAUACAUAAACACGGAUAUCAAACAUGUAACAAGUAGGAAAAUAAAAAAAAUUUGUGCCAUUUCUAACAUGAAACACCAAAUUUCAAAGAUGCAACAUGUGAUAUAAACAUAAAACAUAAAAUUUAUACAUAAAAUAAUAAUAUGUACAAUGAAACAUUACAAGUUAAAUAUGUAAUGUUAAACAUUAAAUAUGAGUAUUGUUUUAUAUAAAACAUAUAACGAUAAAAAAGUAAUUAUUAAUGAUAUAUAUGAAAUACGAAUGUCAAACAUGAAAUGGGGAAGAAAAUAAAAUUUUAGGGGUAUUUAGAAUAAUAAACUUGAGACAAAUAACAAUACACUUGAAAUUUUUUAAUGUCAAAUAUGAAAUAACACAUAUAAAAUAACAAACAAAUUAUUGUCUUUUAUUAUAUAAACUUUUUUUUCUUGAUUUUUUAUAAGAUAUUAUUUUUCUUUCAUUUUUUAUUUAUUUAUCUUUUUUCCUUUCUAUUAAUAUUAUCUUUUCAAAAAAAAUUAACUAGUAUGUUAUCCUAUUUUAAUUUUUAAAAUUUAAAUAAUUAGUUAAAUAUAGUAAUCAGUUAAAGAAAUCAGUUGUUUUAGGUCAUCAUGCCUAAAGAUUGCCUCCUGGCAUUGCAACCACACUCGAAAUGGAGCCUAAUCAGAUGAAGACACAUAUACUUAUAAAAGAAGUAAGUAUAUAAAAUACGAAAAAAAAGUCGUUUUGAUUUCAAUUACUUUGACAAAGUCGAUUUGAUUUCAAUUGGGCAUCAGGCAAACUAACACUGGGGAAAACUGAUCCUUUUGAAAAAAAAAACUGAAAAAUGCAAUUAUGAUGGGAACUUUUUUUUUAACCUGAUCAAAGUGGUGAUGGACAUUAUUUGCUGUAGGUUACUAGGUUUGAUAUCUCGAACUUGGCCUGCCCCAUAUGGCCCAUGUUAGUAUGGGCUGGGUUGUAAAAUUACAAAAAAAAGUUUCCUAUUGAUAAGUUGAUCACAAAAUUACAAAAACAUCCAAAGAACAUUUGAAUUUUAGGGCCAAUUUGGUAAUAAUAUGCUUUUAAAUAAUUACUAUUAUCUAUGGUAUAGAAAUAAACAGUUACGAAAAAAAUAAUUAAAUGCUUAAUAAAUUCUAUUUUUAAAAAUAUUGUGAGUUUUAAAAAUAAUCGUAUGUGUUUAAUAAAUUUUACUUAUUAAACUACUGUAAGAAUACAAAUGAUUGAGUUCGAUAUAAUGUUAAGUAAAAUUUAUUUAGACAUUUAUCAACAUGUUUAUAAAAUAUUUUUUAUGUAUAGAAAAUAAUUGAUAAUUAAAAUAAAUAUUUUUUAUUAUUAAUUUUAUUUUUUAUUUUGUUAUUGCAAUAUAAAUAGUAACAACAAUAAUAAUAUAUUUAAGGUUAAUAAUUUUAUUUUUAAUUAAUAAGAUUAAUUUUAUAUUUUUAUAAUAUAUGGAAUGAUUAGAUAUAAAAUUAAAUUUAAAAAAAUUAUUCAUUUCAUACAUCUGAAAAUCCACUAUAAAAUAAAGUGAUUUUUCUAAAAAUGAUUUUUAAAAUAAUUUAUCAGAUAUUAAAAUUAAUUUUUAAUAAAAAAAUAAAUAUUAAAAUUAACUUUUCAGAAUUAAACUCCAUACAUUUACCUAGGGGUGGGCAUUUUACCCGAUCCGACCCGAUAAAUUUCGGGUUCGGGUUGGAUCGGGUCGGGAUCGAAACCCGAUCGGUUUGAAAUUUACAAACCCGAUCGGGUUGUGAUCGGUUCGGGCAAACCCGACCCGAUUCGAAUACCCGAUCGGGUUCCCAAAAAAAAAAAAAAAACCUAAGCUAACACUGCACAAUUAUCUAACUAUAGAUUCACCUCCAAUCUUUUAAGUGAUCCCUGAUCAGAUUAUCAACAAAUUAAGCUCAAAUAGUCAAAAACAUUAAUUGUUGGAUGAGUUGAUUAAUUCUCCAAAGCCAAUCAAAGUUGCAAAAUUGCGCCUCUUAGGCUUUUUCGGAAGUCUUUUAACUGCACACACACAUACGCUGCUUGGCUGCUGCACAACACACACACACAAGUCACAAGCUGCACAACACACAGCCACACACACAUACGCUGCUACUGUGCUGCACACACACAACACAAGUCAGAAGUUGCACACUUGCACAGCAGUCAGCACACACACAGAAUAGAACAGAAGUCACAAGGUGCACAGGACGUUCAGUGAACACACACGAGCUGCACAGCACACACACACGCUGCACACAGUCACUCAAGUCUCAACAAUUCACUCGCAAACCUAACACACACACACACACACACGAUGUCAGCCACAACUCACAAGUUCAAACAACUAAACAAACACAAACAAUUGAACAACAGAACAAGGCAGCCGCAACCCGUAAGUCUGCAACCAGCGACCACAAGACGCAAUCUGUUGCUGCCAACUACUGAAAUCACGAUCUGUUGCUGCCAACUGAAGUCGCGACCAGCCGUGAGCCGUGAGCCGUCUGCAUCUCUGCGAUCUGCUGCUGCAGUGCUGCCAACUCCCAAGUGAAGUCGCGAUCUGCUACCAAGUGAAAUCCCGUCCGUCCAGCCGUGAGCCGUGGCCACCGAUCUGCUGCUUGAAGGCCGAAUCCUCUCCACCCGAGUGCUUCCGGUUUCCACCUUCCACUUUCAAGUUUCAAGCUUCAAGCCUUCAACUUUUUUCAAGUUUCCCAAGUCUUUUCAGUUUUCACUUCAGUUCACGGUAUAUAAGUUAUAACUAUAUAUACACUAUAUAAUUAAUUAAUUAUAUAUGGUAAAUAGUUUAUUAUAUAAUUCAGUAAUUGGUUAAUGGUUAUUAUUUAAUUGUUGUAAUUAACUAAUUAUGUAUCUAUAAAUAUUAGUAAUAAAAUCAAGGAAAUUUUGUUAAUUAUUGAGCUCAUCAGAAAUUAUUUUUUUGUCAUAUAUAAAAAGGAAUUGAUGAUUGGUUUGGUGGGUUUUGUUUUUAUUUCAUUGAUUAUUAAUUUGUUAUCGUUUGCUCUCUUUAGCGAAUAGACUAUAACAAUCAAGCAUAAAGGACAUACAAAAAUGGUGUUAGCCAGCGAAUAAUAAAAAUUUUGUUAAUUAUUAAUAAGUGAAAUAAUAUUAAUUGAUAAUUGUUAAUAAUUGAAAUAAUAUUAAUUGAUAAUUGUUAAUAAUUGUUAAUAAUAGUUAAUAAUUGAUUUUUAAUGAAUAAAUUAGCACAUUAGGUAGAUUAAAUAUUAAAAUUAAGUAUUAUGUUGUAUAUAUUUUAUAAUUAUAAUGUGUUAUGUAAUUAUGGGGAAUGGACAAUUGGAUAUUAUAAAUUAAUUAAUUAAUCAUGAAUUUCUUAUUUUUUGUUUAUGGAGCAUGAACAACUUGAAUUGAAAUUACUAAUUUUUGUUUAUGGAUUAUGUUAACAAUAUUUAUGUGUUUUGAUUUUUGAAUUAAUGAUUAUUAAUUAUUAUUUUGAAUAUUCAGAUGCUUGGACACUCAAGAUCGAAUUCGAUGAGUGACGAUGAAGACCAAAGUGUACAAAUGGAAGGAACCCAUAGAGGAAAGGAAAAGGCGAAGCGGAAAAGACCGCCAAUGAAGAAAAGAUCGGCAGUAUGGAAUCAUUUCACUUUACUCGAAGAUAAUCCAAACAAAUUUAUGUGCAACUAUUGUGGUAAGCAAUAUCAAUGUCAUUCAAGGCUUGAUGGGAUUACAAAUAUGACAAGGCAUAUAAAGACAUGUGAAUCAUACAAGACAUUUCGGGCACAACAAAGUGGAAGUCAACAAAAUUUGACAUCCGAGGGCGGCGAAGAAAAUGCAAGUAAUUUGGUUUUGGAUAAAGGAUGGAGUCAAGACGCGUGUCGAAGGGCAGUAACUAAAAUGAUUAUUAUGGGUGAGUUGCCGCUCAGUUUUGUAGACAACAAAGGAUUUAGGCAUUUCUGCAGUGUAGCUAUCCCUUAGUUUGUUAUGCCAUCUCGAAGAACAAUUGGUAGAGAUGUUAUGGAGUUAUUUUUGGAGGAAAAGGCAAUGUUGAAGAGUUUAAUUUGCAACAACAAGCAGCGGGUGUCUCUUACAACUGAUUUAUGGACUUCUGUUCAAAACAUGAGCUACAUGGUGAUUACAACUCAUUUUAUUGAUAGUGAUUGGUGUUUGAAUAAGAGGAUUAUUCGUUUUAGCGCAAUCGAAGAUCAUAGAGGGAAGUCGAUUGGUAAAAAGAUUGUGGCUUGCCUACAAGAUUGAGGGAUAGAGAGGUUGUUUGCAAUAACUGUUGAUAAUGCCACUGCAAAUGAUAUUGUUGUUGGUUAUGUCACUAUGCAGUUGCUUAGUUGGAGGAAUGAUGAUGCACUUGUGUUGGCGGGACAAUAUAUGCAUGUGCGUUGUUGUGCACAUAUUUUGAAUUUGAUUGUUGUCUCAGGAUUGGGAGAGUUGCGUGCUAGUGUUACCGCUAUUCGAAAUGCAGUGAAGUACGUGAGAUCCUCCAGCAUGAGGCUGCGGACAUUUAAACAAUGUGUUGAGCAGGUGAAUUGUCCAAAAGGAAUUGUUGUUUUGGAUUGUCCUACCAGGUGGAAUUCCACUUACUUGAUGUUGAUGAUUGCGCUGAAAUUUCAUGCGGCAUUUGAUAGAAUGGCAGAAGUGGAUAAACCUUAUAAGGCAUACUUUGCUGAGAAAGAAAAUAAUGUUACAAGGGUGGGCCCACCUGGACCGGAUGAUUAGGAGAGUGCUGAACGGAUUGUGAAGUUUUUGAAGGUAUUUUAUGAUGCCACAUUAUUGUUUUCUGCCUCUUUGAGUGUGAGUUCUAAUCUUUGUUAUGAUACUAUUGGCUUAAUUGAGAGUUCAUUGACUGCACUGCAAGAAAGUACAGAUCCUUGGGUGUCCUCUAUGCCUUAUAGUAUGAGGGAAAAAUUUGACAAGUAUUGGGAGUCCACAUGAAAGAUAAACAAAAUGUUGAUUAUUGCCUCUAUUCUUGAUCCACGAGCGAAAAUGGAUUUUGCUAAACAUAUUUUUGAGAUCAUUUUUGGCAAUGAUAGUUUGAUGGUUGAACAAAUGACCAAAGCAGUGAAGGACUUGUUGAAUGAGUUUUAUGAUGCAUAUAGUGCAUUCUCCGCUAGUUCCACACCAUCGAUGUAUGGUGAGAGUGGUCUUAGUGGCAGCUAUGGAGGUACAAGUUCUUCUCAACGUUUUACAACUGAGGCUAAUUUGGUGGAUGUUGCUGGUGGUGAAUAUGAUGACGCUUUUCAAGUAUCUCGCCCUUUCCUUAGAUAUGCCAAGAAGGUUUCUGUUCAGAAUGAGAGUAGAAGAGUAGUAUCUGAGGUGGAAAGGUACUUGAAGGACCCAGUUGAAGAUCCCAGCAAUCUUUAACUUAAUGUUUUGCUUUGGUGGAGGGUGAAUGGAUCGAGGUAUCCAAUUCUUGAGAAAAUUACAAGAGAUGUCCUUGUUGUUCCUGUUUCCAUAGUGGCAUCUGAGUCUGCCUUUAGCACCGGACGUCGUAUUAUUGAUGAGUAUAGGAGUUCUUUAACUCCGGCUAUGGUUGAGGCAUUGAUAUGCACUGAAAAUUGGCUGCAGUCUAAACUUUUUGCCAAUCCCGUCUACAACCUCCAAGAAGAUAUUAAGGAGCAAAUGUUUCAUAUGGAAUUACAAGAAGGUAAUGUUUUUAAUUUUUUUAUCAUACAUUAAAUACAUAAUAUAUUUAAAAUGCAUUAUAACUUUAUAUAGAACAUCUACAUAUUAAUUUUUUUUUUGGAUUUUAUAGAACUUAUAAGAUCGCAAGCUUCAACAGUGGAAGCGGUGGGCGUUGACAUUGGUGUUAUGGAUGUUUGAAAGGUAACUUUUAAUAUAUAUUAUUAUUCAUAAUUUGAUAUUAUAGUAUUAGUAUUUGGUUGUAAUUUAAGUUAUAAUUAUAGUUGUUAUAGUUUUAAAUUUUAAGUGUAAUUUGUAAUUGUUUUAGUUAGACAAGUUGAAGUUGAUAGAAUGUUAUUAUUGUCUAGUAUUAUUAUUAACUUGAUUUGGUGAUGAAUGCCAUAAAAUAAGCAUGAUAUAAUAGAAAUAUAUAAUCAAGUGUGUAUUGAAAAAUUUGGUAAACAUAUAUAUUUAUUUGUAAUUAUAAAUUUAUAAUGAUAUAAUAGAAAUUAGAAAGAUUGUAACACUCAUUUAGCUUAAUUAAAUAUAUGAAUUGGAUUUAUUUAUUUGUAUUUGUGUUUGAUGUGUAACCUUAUGAAUUAGGUUUAUUUGCUCAAUUUUUUAUAUGAAUUGAGUUUGUUCAUUUGGAACGUGGCUUAAGGAAAAUAUUUAUUGUACAUUUCCUCAAUCUUUCUCUAGGCAAUCGGCACUUGAACUUAGAGUUCAAAAAUUUGAAUUUAGAACUUGUCAAAGUACUUGCAUGGAGCCAUGGAGGAACCAAGGUGGAGGAACCAAGAAAGCUUAUUUAGUUUUAAUGUUUGAACUUUGAACUUUGUGAUUUAUGUUUCUAAACAAUUUAAUUUUGUGACUUUGUGAGUUUGUGUUUCAAACUUUUAAAGACUAAUAUUUUGAAAUUGUGCUUUGGACUUUGUAAGUUUGUAUUAAUUUUAACUUUUAUUAAGUUUGGAACAUUGGAUUUUGUUGAUUGAGCAAAUAAUAGUCCUAAUUCUACCCUCCAAGCCAAUAGGCAAAUAAUCCUAUUAUAGCAUUUUAACUUUAUUUAUUUGAUUUAAUAACAUUUUCUUUUCUUUUUUCAGUUGAAAAUUAGUAAAAAUGACUACAAUUAAGAAAAAUAUCUUAAAACUUUCAUAAAAACUACAAUAAUAGGAAAAAAAGAGCUCAAAAUUGUAUUAACCAAAUUUGACCCGAAUUGACCUAAUUUCAACCGACCCGAACUGACCCGAUUGGACUUGAACUGACCCGAAUUGACACGAACUCAAUCCUACUCGUUUUAAAUCCAACCCAAUCCAACCCGUAGUUCGAGUCGGGUCAUUAAUUCGGGUUAUGUUCAGAUUAAUUCUUGUCUAACCCGAACAACCCAAAAUCCAAUCAAAUUGACCCGAACCCAAUCCGAACUCGAUUUUGCCCACUUCUACCUUAACCUUCUCAAAAAAAAAAAAAAAAAAAAAUUAAACUCCAGACUCUUAAAGCACUUUCCGCCAAUCGCCCGCAACUUGCUUCACUUGCUACUAGGGUUGGCAAUUUAAGGGCCUGGGCCGGGCUUUGCCAAGCCCAGGACCAGGCCCAUAGCUUGUUUAAAAAGUCCAGGCCCUCUCAAAGCCAUCCAAUUUGGGCGGGCUUUGGGCGGGCCGGGCCUUGAUGGGCCUGGGCCGGGCCUGGGCGGGCCUAGGUCGGGCCUGGGCUUUACGAAUUUUCAAAAUUUUUUAAUAAAACUAUAAUUUUUCAAAACAUAAUUAUCCAAUAUAUAAUACUACAAUAGGCUAAAAACUUAAACAUAAUAAAAAAAUAUAAAAAUACUAACAUCACAAGUACCAUACACAACAUACAAAUCAAGUAAUCAACCACUAAUAUAUAUAAAAAAAAACUAAUCCAAUAUUUGCGGGCCAUCUUCGUCCUCAUCCUUCAAUUCCUCGCCAGUAAAAAUUUCUUCUUCAGGAACUCCACCUAAUAAAAAAAGUGUUAAAAUAAAUAAUAAAGCAAAAUAAUUAGUAAUUAAUUUUGUAAAAAAAUGUUUUUAUACCUCUACUGCUAGUAGCCCAUAACCAAUGCUGAGAGCACAUGAUAGCUUCCAACGUGUCUGGAUGUAGUCUACUUCGAUGUGGACUCAAUGUUCUACCUCCCGUACUAAAAGCCGACUCCGAGGCAACAGUUGUCACAGGUAUGGCUAGCAAAUCCUUGGCCAUCUCCGCCAAAAUAGGAUAUUUACCUUUGUUCAUCUUCCACCAUUGUAAAACAUCAAAAUCCGGAGUUCUUUUGACUAAAGGAUCCUCCAAAUACAUAUCUAAGUCGGACUUCGAACUAAUAGGUUGACUAUUUUGGGUUGCAUAUGCAUCAAAAUCACCCAUAUCAUCUAUAUUAUCAAAAUCAAUAUGAGAUUGGUCGGAAGGAACAACAAGUGCGGUAGAAGACUCACCAACAACACCGUAUCUCGUAGUUGCGGAUUUGGCCUCAUAAUAAUUCAUCAUUUCAUCACAAAGCUCUCGCACUCUCUUAAGUUGGUUUUCAAGGCCGACUACAUAAAUCUUCGGAUAAUAAUAAUUAAUCAACAUCAUCUUGUAUCUCGGAUCAAGAAUAACAGCCAUGACCAAUACCCCACUAAUCUCAUCCCAAUACUUCAAAAAUUUUCCAAUCAUGUUAUCCGCCAUAUUCUUAACUGCAGGAACAUCAGAUGUUUGCCACCCCUUCAAUGCAAUCCUCAUUUUACAAACCAAUGGAAAAAAAAGAUUAGCAGUGGGGUAUGUUGUACCCGAAAACAUCUCAGUCAACUUUGAAAAAGGCCUCAAAUAAUCUAGCAUUUGCUUAGCCAACUCCCAUUCCUCACUACUAGGCAAACACUUGUAUUGUGGCUCAAGUGUUUGUAGUCGAGAAAAAACACUUUUGUACUUCACUGCAAGUUCAAGCAUCGCAAAAGUCGAAUUCCAUCUAGUUGGACAAUCAAGCCCCAACUUUUUCACAUCUAUUUGUAUUUGACGACAUGCCAACUCAAACUUUUCCACCCGUUUUGGCGAUGAACUCCAGUAAGACACACUGUCUCUAACACGUGUAAUACCACUCUCAAUCACUGACAACCCAUCCUUCACAAUUAAAUUCAAAAUAUGAGCCGCACACCUCAUAUGAAAAAAAUUACCGCUCAAUAUCAUUGACUCAGUGGACAACAAUCCCUUCAAUCUUGCAACCAUCGCAUCAUUAGUUGAACAAUUAUCCAAAGUAACCGUGGAUAACUUUCUAUCUAGAUUCCAAUCCAUUAAACACUUCACCAAAAUUUGGGAAAUGCAAUCAGCUGUAUGUGGGGCUUGCACAUAUAUAAAUCUGUUCAAAUUUAAAUAAAUUUUUUUUAAAGUUAAUAAAGUGCCUAUACAGCUAUACUAUACAAAUUUAAAUACAAAAUUUAAAUAUUUAAUAAAGUAAAAAUACCUUAGAAUUCGACUUUGCAAAUGCCAAGAGUUGUCAAUGAAAUGUCCUGUAACAACCAUAUAACCUUUCUUUUGAUUACAAGCCGUCCACAUGUCUGUAGUAAUUGCCACCCUACUAUUAGUAAUCUCCAACAAAUUCAUUGCCUUCCCCUUUUCAAUAUUAUAUAUCUUAAAUAUCUCACUCUUUAAAGUGUUUCUGGACAUAUGCUUCACCAAUGGAUUGCAAUAAUCAACAAAAUCUCUAAAUGACUCAUACUCCACAAAUCUAAGAGGAAGCUCAUGUUUAACAACAACUGUUGUAAGUUUUUGACGUGCAACCAAUGGAUCAAAUUUCUGAAUUCCAAGCUCACCACUUUCGGUUUUCACCAAGUGUUGCUUAUUCUCAAAAACUUCUUCAAUUGUCGGUUGAUUAAAACCAUGAAUUUGUCUAGUAUGUCUAUUCAAAUGACUAGUUCCCGAUCCACAAGAAAGAACCGUUCCACAAUGAUUGCAUUUUGCCUUUGCUACACCACCAACAUUUAAUUUUGUAAAAUGGUCCCAACAAUUUGAAACAACCCUCUGUUUUCUUUUUUUAUCACUCCGCAUUUCUUCUUGAACAUUUUCCGACUCCACAGAUGGAUUUGAAGGCAAAUUAGAAGAUUCAGAAACAUUUUCCAUUAUAAACCUAUACAAAAUUAAAGGAGAUAAAAUAUGGGGCAUUAUAAACCUAUCACCAGAAAAUUCAUCUUCAAAAUGCCAAGUAAAUUAGAGACUGAACAUUCAACAAACCCAUUUCAACCAACCCAACAAGCAAAUUUAUAUUCCCAGACUUUUACAAAUAAUCAUUCUUAACCAAUUUGUCCCAAUCCCACAUUGAUAAAAAAGCAGACAAAGAUGGAAAGAGAAUAAACCUGGUGGGUGGAGGAAUCCCGCGGCUGUGCUGGUGGGUGGGAGGCGCUGUUGGACACGCGGGAGAUGCUGUUGCUGCCUUGCUGGGUGGCUGGACGGUGGGUGGGGUUGGCUGGGUGAUGGCUGAUGCUGCUGCUGCUGGAAUCUGUUGUUGCUGCUGCUGGACGGUGGGUGGCUGAUGGGUGGGAGGCGCUGCUGGAAUCUGUUGCUGCUGUUGGCUGCCGGCGGCGAGAACAGUGAGUGAGAACUGACUUGCUGGGUGGCUGGACGGUGGGUGGGGGUGGCUGGGUGAUGGCUGAUGCUGCUGCUGCUGGAAUCUGUUGCUGUUGCUGCUGGACGGUGGGUGGCUGAUGGGUGGGAGGCGCUGCUGGAAUCUGUUGCUGCUGUUGGCUGCCGGCGGCGAGAACAGUGAGUGAGAACGGAGAGGUGAGUGAGAACUGACUUGCUCGGUGGCUGGACGGUGGGUGGGGUGGCUGGGUGAUGGCUGAUGCUGCUGCUGCUGGAAUCUGUUGCUGCUGCUGCUGGACGGUGGGUGGCUGAUGGGUGGGAGGCGCUGCUGGAAUCUGUUGCUGCUGUUGGCUGCCGGCGGCGAGAACAGUGAGUGAGAACGGAGAGGUCAGGUGAGUGAGAACUGAGAAGUCAGGGAACGAGCACGAGGGAUUUACCGAUUUAGGGAUUUAGGGAUUUUGUGACUUUGUCACAGUUGAAAUUGAAUAUUAUAAAUUGUUUUGUUAUGUUACAAAUUACAAGUUAUACUGUUAACGGGUGCUGAUUGAAAAUUGUUUUGUUAUGUUACAAAUUACAAGUUAUAAAAUUGUUAAUUGUUUUGUUUUAAUUUUAUGAAAUAUUAGCACCGGAUUUUUAAUCGGCACCCGUUUUUAAUUGUUUUGUUUUAAUUUUUUUUUAAUUUUAAUUUUAUGAAAUAUUAAUAUAUUAUAUGAUUUUUUUAAAUAUAUAUUUAUUAUUUAUUAUUUAUUAUAAAAUCCGGGCUUAAGCCCGAAUUUUUUAAUCAGGCCCUUGACUGAGCCCAUAUAUUAUGGACUUUGUUAAUUAUAAGCCCUUAUCCAUAAUUUCAAGCCACGGGCCGGGCUUAAAACCCGCGGGCCUGGGCCGGCCCGGGCUUUUCUGCCAACCCUACUUGCUACGUUGUCGUCUUAUCUAGAUAAUCAUUUUGCCGUCUCUUCGAUUUAUUCGCUUAUAUAGGUUAGAAAUCGAACAAACACUGCAACUUUCUAACUAACACACAGCUAAAAAGAAAAAAAAAAAAAGGGUUGAGUCGUCAUCGUCUCAAUGGCGACGGCUGAGACACAAACGAUGGUGGUAGGGAUCGACGAUAGCGAGCACAGCAUGUACGCGCUUCAAUGGACGCUCGAUCAUUUCUUCGCAAAUUCGACUGUAAAUCCUCCUUUCAAACUCGUCAUCGUUCACGCCAAACCUUCCCCUUCUUCUGUUGUUGGCCUCGCUGGACCUGGUAAAGUAAUUAUAAAUUUAACUAAUUAUCAAUUAGUCCUUUGGUAUUUGUCUUUGCUUUGCAAGUCUUAGAAAUUAAGUAAUAGAUUUUGUCGUACUUUGUUCGAUUUUAAUUUUCGAUUUUAGUUUGUUUGUUUUUUCUUUCUUUCUUGAUGAUCAAGUACCUGGUUUUUAAUUUUAAUUUAUCGCAGGAGCCGCCGAGGUUUUGCCUUAUGUGGACUCAGAUUUGAAGAAGAUUGCUGCUAGGGUUGUGGAGAAGGCUAAAGAAAUCUGUAGCAGUAAAUCGGUAAUGAUUAGUUUGUUAUUUCUUUUUAAUGAUAUUACAAUCUAUAAAUAAAAUACAAUCUUGGGAUGGUCUAGGAUUCUAUAUACACAUACGCUUUUGUAGUACAGUUCAAAAAUCUACCAAGACUAGUUCGGAACACUCCCACUAACAACAUUGGUGGAAAAAGCUAUCUUUAGAUUGCCCCACUCGUGAAAUGAUAAUCUUCAAAAUACUCCUCUAAACAUCAACUUUCCCUCAUUUCUGUUAAGAAGACGAAAAAAUUUUCAUCAAUGCCCCCUGAUUUUUAUUUAUUUUUUAAACCCAAACAGAGGUAAAUUAAGGUUUAGAAUAGUUUAGAGGUACUUCGAGGACUGUCAUUUUAUGAUCGGUAAUCCAAAAUUAACCUUUCUAAAUUGGUAGAUCUGGAUAAGUAUUCAUGCUUAUCCUUUUAUCUUUCCCCAGUUUCAGUAUACCAGAUUAUAAUGGGUAUACUUAAUUGUUUUUCUUCUGGUAUCAUUUCUGUAAAUUAGUAGUUCUGUUUUGUUUAGGUGCAUGACUUUGUUGUUGAGGUGGUGGAAGGAGAUGCUCGAAAUAUCCUCUGUGAGGCUGUAGAGAAGCAUCAUGCCUCCAUAUUGGUUGUUGGUAGUCAUGGCUAUGGAGCGAUCAAAAGGUAUAAAUCUACCAUAAGUUGUUUCCUUUGGUAUCUCAUAUUUUCUCGAGUGGAACUUGGUAUGGUGAACUGUUUUGGUUAUUAUUCAUAUUUUUCAGUUGUAAUGAGGACUCAAAUCUGUAUGUAGUACUAUUUGUAAAAGCUUAUAUGAAUCAAUAUUUUAUUCUUUAUUAUGGAGUAGCUAUAACCAGAUGAAAAUAGAGUGGAAAAAAUGUCAUUGAGAUGUAGUAAAACGCUUUUCUUUGACUGGCCACCCAAAUGCAAAUUGAUACUAAAAAUUUAAUUGGGGAUUUGCCUUCUCCUCUACCUUUCGAAAAAAAAAAAAAAUAUUGAUCGGUUUCUAUUUCAGUAUUCUUUCGCUGGGAAUGUCAUACGUACUAUGGAUUUACAAAUUUUGUUGAAUGAGAGGGUUAGUAGGUUUCAUUUGUUUCCUGUUGGGGAUUCUGAUGAUUUAUAACUGAGAUCGAUUCUUUUGCAGGGCGGUUUUGGGCAGUGUAAGUGAUUAUUGUGCUCAUCAUGCUCAUUGCACGGUGAUGAUAGUGAAGAGGCCUAAAACCAAGCACUGAGCUGCAGUUACUCUGCUUCAUGAUUAGUAAGCACAUAAUACGAUGAUAUGGAUCAGUUGGAAACUGUAUGAUAUCUAUUGUAUCUUGCAUAUUACGAUUGCCGUUGAAAAUGGGAUGUGAUCAAAUAUCAUAAUUUAACUUAUAUUUGGGAUGUAAUCAAAUAUCAUAAUUUAACUUAUAUUUAUGAAAAUAUCUAAACGUUUCAUCAAAGCUCACAUGCUUCAAAUGUUUCAUAGUAAUGUUUUAUGUUCAUUAAUGUUCUCCUUGUUUCUUCGCUUGCUUGUUUCUUUACCCUGCCCUUUGUAGAAUUUCCUUGUUAAUCACAGUAUGAGUGAUGGCAUGAAUAUGUACUGUCAACGGUGCAUAAAAUGAAAAGUUGAUUAGGACAAUAUUUUGAUUUUAAAUAUUUAAAAUAACUUUUAAUUAAUCGAGACAGUUUGUACUUGUAGGGGAAAGAUGCCACUUUAACCUUUUAUUCUUUAUCAUUUUUGGUGAUACUUUUAAUAAUUUGAUAGCCACAUAAAAUUCUGCUGUAAGAGGUGCUUAACACCCAUUCAUUCCGUUAGGGCAAUACAACUCGUUAAUUACUAUUUUCGGUUUCUCUGGAAAAUAGAAAUUUUAUGCACGUGAUCAUAUUUUUUAAAAUAAGAAAUAUAUUCAUAAAUUAAUAAUUUAUUAAUUUAUUAAUUUAAUUAUAAUUAAUAAUUUUUGAAUAAAUAUAUUUUUUAGGAUCCUUGCUAUUAAUUUAUCUGGUUGUAUUCCAAAUAGCUGCAUCACAAGCAAGCGGGUCGACAAUUUCAACGCAUCUAGAAAUUUUAGAACAUUGCAGCCAUCUUGUUUUAUUUAAUGUCUCGGGUAUUUUGUAAGUAGGUUUAAUUAUAUUUAAGCGCUUGGAUUCUAUCCACUUCCUUUAAGAAGGUCUCCAUUAAGACAGAGGUGGAGUAUCAGAGUCUUUGUAGGUAGUUACUGUAUCCGGAUGUCGAUCACCCUUUACAACAUCCGCCAAAGCAAUGGAAUCAUGUUCAGCCAUUUCUUCUGGAGCUAAUUUCACUGUGAGAGCUUCAAUAUUUUCAUUGAGCUGUUCGAACUUGGUGGUUCUAGGUAUGGGACACACAUCAUCACCUUGGUGGUGAAGCCGGGCUAACGCAAGCUGUGCUGGGUGAAUCCUUUUCUCAUUGCUAUUUCAUUAACAUGCUCAAAUAACUUUUUGUUAUGCUCCAAACCGAUUUGACUUGAGUCCUAUUUAUUUUGAUGACAAGUGUCAUUGUUCGUAUCACAUCUGGCGACACUUGUUUGUUUGUGCCUAUAUUAAUUGACACAUGGAUAUGCAAGCUUCUCUAUAGAUUAUAGAAAGAAACAUUUUAACUUUAGAUUGUUUUUACUAAGACUCUAAGAUGAUGGGAACCUUAGAACUUAGGAGAUUUAUCAUAAGUAGUUUGUCUUAGAAUAUGAGCCUACGACAUCGGUACCUUUUGGGUUUUGAAGCCUCAUCAUCUAGGAGGAUUAUCCUAGGUGGUUUGUUUUAGGAUAGAAUCUUAGGACUUUAGAACCUUUUAGCCUUGGACUUUGGGAUCCUUUAGGCUUUGAAGUCUUAUUACUUAGAAGGAUUAUCCUAGGUGGUUUGUCCAGCACUUUGUGGGUUUAAUUGAGAGUAAAUUUAUUAUAUAAGCCUUAUUGAGAUUAAAUUUAUUUGGGCCUUGAUUGAGCCUCUUUUAUUUUUGGUCCAAUAAUGUCAAUAGACUAUUCUUUGUAUAAUAUAAUAUACUCAACAGAAACUAACCCAUUAAUACUAAAAAUUAACCUUGUAGUAUUUUCUGAAUUAUUUUAGUGUUCAAUAUCUACAAUCAUGAUGUUUUUGAAUAAAAGAUACAAAAUGUUUAUAAUGUAAAAAAGAAGUCCGGGUUUAUAUGAUGUAAGAAAUUGUUGAACUAAUACAUGUAUGGAUGUCAAAAGGGUAGCAUAAGAAUUCACGAAUAGAAUUUGUGACUGCUUAUCAUGAAUUAGGUUAAAAGUAAGUAAAUUCAAUAUAAUGAAUUGGGUUAAAAGUUUGAAACUCCAAAGAACUUCUUGCACAAUUCAUGCCUUUCUGUUUCUGUGAUCUCCAUUUCAAAUUGUUCUCCAGACUUUUUAUCAAUAUGAGGUGAUCGCAAAUAUACAUGUAUAAUAUUAUUAAAUAUAAAAUCUUAAAAUUUUUAAGCCCAUAAAAAAAAAUCCAUUUGGUGCCGAGUUUUUAAGCCCAACCUGAGUGUUAGGAAAAAAUGCUUGGGCCAAAUUUGAGUAUUGCUAUAUCUGGGACCGACCUGAGUUUUUACCAUCACUAAGCAUAAUUAGUUGGUUGAAAUAGUUUAAUUUCCAGUAAAAUGAUCUGAAAAAUUGUGAAUCAAUUUGGUAACCUGCUAGAGGCCACUUUGUAACACAGCAAAAGUAUUCGAUUGAUAUGAAAUUAUUGAAUAAUUUUCUGUUGAGGAGGGAUGUCGUGUAACAACAAGAAACAUAUAAUGCUACAAUAAAUUUAGAUAAGCAAUAAUAUUUGGGAUCCCAACAUUUGAGUAUCAACUUGACUCCUAAUGAUAUGUGUCACUCAUCAAUUGGAUGAUGGAUCUCAUAUCUAGUAAAAUUACUUAAUCACCGUUCAAUAGAUGAAUUCCACGUUAGUAGGGACUCAAAUUGGGACUUAUAUGUUGGGAUACCUAACAUUGCUCUUCACAUCAAUGGAGAGGCUCCAAGUGGGCUGGGAAAUUUUUAGAAAAUUUACAAAAAUGCCAUAAUACAAAGUUUACAAAUUGCCACUAUUUUAUUUACAAUAGUACUGCUAUAUUAAUUUACAACUUUGUCAUUCAAAUAAAUAAAUAGAAAAAGUCUUUAAAAAAAAAUAGAAAAAGAGAGCAUUUAUUUUAUUCAAGAUUCCAGAACGUUCUUUCUUUCUUGGCUUCUUCAAUUCUUUUUCUUCUUCUUGGCAAGAAUAGAUAAUAAAUUUAUUGUUUAUUCAAUCAUUUACAAUACACUUAUUAAUUGUUAGGUAGUAAGGACUGAAGAUUAUGUUCCUUAACUUUUGUUCCAAUUUUUUUGUGUAAAAUUAAAUUAUUGUUAGGUCAAAUGAAGAUAAUUUAGCCAUUAAAUUCUGGCAAUCAAAAUUUUAAAUUAAUUUUUGAUAGAUUAGAUAUAUUUGAAAUUGAUUAUUGAUAUAGAUGGAUCAUAGAUUCAAUUCAGUAUUGAUAGAGAGAUAUUAUACAUAAUGUUAAUUUGUUAAUUAAAUAUAUUUUUUGGCUUCUGGAUAGUGUCAAUGUGUGUCAUAGUGACAUGUUAGGCUAUAUAGCUAUAAAAUGUUAUUUUGAUGAUAACAAACCACAUGUUUUGGAUAAACAAAUAAUUACAUAUUAUGCUUUUGAAACAAGAAAAUUAUUUUAUGAAAUUUGUUGUUUUCAAGUUUAUGGUUUAAAUUAGAAAGUUUUGAGAACUUUGAAAUCAAUAAGUAUUAUUUUAAAAUUCUGGAAAUUGAUCUAUUUACAAAGUUUUAUAAAGAUUUGGGACGUAAUAUAAUUUUAUAAAGUUUUAGGGUAACAUUAUAAUGUUAGAAAAUAGAUGUUUCACUGUAGCAAACGGCUAACUGGAUUUAUCAAAGUAGCAAACUGGUUAUCAAGCAAAAGCUCUCUGGAGUAAAAUUGACUAACUGAAAAAUGAAAAGUGACAAACUAGAUGUGCAAACAUUCAAAUCCUUGACUGUAGCAGUAACAUCAAGCGACAAAGUUAACAUAAAACGACAAGCCGAUUAUCACUAAAAAGUCAAUAACAGCUAAUUUUCUGCUCCAACUAUAAAAUGACUUCAAUUAAAUUAAAAUGAAGAGAGACAACCAUUGUUAUCAUUGAGCAAUCCUCUGCAAUUAGAGAACAAAAUUUGUGUAUUCAUUUUAUUUAUUCACACAUGUUGAAUUUUCAUUUGUAAUCAAACAAAUUGUGUGAGGAAAAUUUAUUUGUAAUCAUUUUUGUAAAAUCAAGUUAAGAGGUUGUAAGUGUUGGGAUACACUUGGGUUAAGAGAUUGAAGAUAAUCUCUUGUUGUAAAGGUCUAUUGACUCCUUGGAAGUCAAUUGUAAGAGUUGUUGAAGUCUUGGAGAAUCACUUAGUGAAAUCCUUAAGCCCCGUGAGCUUGAAGGCGUGGACGUAGGCACGAUUGACCGAACCACGUAAAAAUCACAUGUUUGGUCUCUCUUACCCUACCUCUUUAUUUUUCAUUGCACAUUAAUUGUUUAUUUCGAAUUUGGUUACUUUGUUUAAAUUGCAUUAAUUCUUAAUUGAUUAAAUUUUUAGAAGCCCAAUUCACCCCUUUCUUGGGUUGCAUAACCUGUAUUUCAUGAUAGAUUGACGGUUCUAUAGCUUUUAUUAGUGAAUUUGUGAUUACGUCUUUUAACUUCUUUUAUAUUUAUACCUUGUUUUGGCUGCAAUGACCAAACGAGCAUAAACACCACUUUAAAAUAAGAAGAAGGAAUUUUUAUCAGAUUGUAUAGUUAUCUAUAUUAAAAGAGAACUUGUAAGCACCAUCAAUUUAAAUUCGAUAAUAGAUGGGUUUAAUUCUCGAAAGUAUGGUAAGGCAAAACUUAAUAGUGUUUAAUUGUGACUAAAUUGCUUCUUAGAUAUGAUAUAUUUUCUUAUGUAUUAAAAAAAAUUUCUUUCAGAUUUAUAUUUUUAGCCGAGAUAAUAUUUGGAUUUGGAAAAAAUUUAGCCUACCCAUGAAAUUUUUUUUGGCUUCGCCCCUAAUUAAGAUCAUCUAAACUUCUAGAAAUUUCAGAUAAAUAUUACUCCAUUUUGAUUUAUUUAUUGUUUCUCAUAUAUUUGCAUAAACACAUUACAUUGUUUUUGUGCUUACUGCAGAAGACAUUGUUGGGAAAGGACCACCACAAACAGCUGCAAAUUAAGCGGAAAAAAAAAAACUCUUUCCUUCUUUGUGUGAUUAAAAUAGGAUGUGCACUACAAAUAAAUAGACAGAAAAAUAAACUAAUAAAUCCAAAGUAAAAACCAACUACAAGAGACACAUAUUUUUACGUGAAAAACUUAAAGCGAGAAAAAUCAUGGGACUGUAGUCCGCUAUAAUCUUCCAUCAUAUUAAUGGGAUUACAAUACAAAUUCUUCUCUAGAUAAUACUAUGGGCUACCAACAUCAAGAAUCUCAAUAUGGCUUACAGUAACAACCUAAUAACUAUCUCUCCAACAAGUGAGUAUCUCAAAUAAUAGUCAAAGAGAGGAUAAAAUAAAAAUCAAGGCUAGUAGGAUUGUAGAGGCCGAUGCGGCGAUGCCAAGAACUUACGCUAAAAAUUUAGGAGAAAUCAGAGUUAAUAUCACCUUCCGAUCGUCUAAUGAAAGAUUAAAAUUACUAUUCCUAAAUAAAAGCAUCUAUUGUCUUUUCUCUCUCUCUCUCGCCGCUUUUUCACUCUCAAAAUUAUCUAAGGCAGCGUCUUUCACUUCAUUUUAUAGGCAAAUUUCAUUUUAAGUCUCUUUUCAUUACUUAAUUUUCCAAACUUAUUAAACUUUAGCCUUUUGGCCUCCAAAUGAGAUGGGCCCAACAAAUCUCCCUCUCCGAAUCAUGUGGGGGGCACCACCAAUCCCGCUCUCUGCAUACGGCUUUUCAGCUUCUCCUUAGGCAAUGGUUUUGUCAUCAUAUAUGACCCACUCUCCGUUGUGUGUAUCUUCUCAACCUGCAACUGUUUCUUCUCAAGCACGUCUCGUAUCCAAUGAUACCUCACAUCAAUAUGCUUAGAUUUCAAAUGGUAUGUCGAAUUCUUUGCCAAGUGAAUGGCACUCUAACUGUCGCAAUACACAACAAAGAUAUUUUGUUUCACACCCAACUCUUGUAGAAAAUUCUUCAUCCACAAGGUUUCUUUGUAACCUUUAGUGAUUGCAAUAUACUCUUCUUCUAUGGUAGACAAGGCAACACACUGCUGAAGUUUGGAUUGCCAUGAGAUAGCUCCCCCUACAAUGGUGAGCAAAUAUCUUAAUAGAGAUUUUCUCGAAUCAACAUCUCCUGUCAUAUCUGCAUCUGUGUACACUUGUAAUAUAAGUUUGUCACCACCAAAACAUAAACAUGCCUUGGAAGUGGCUUUGAGAUAUCUAAGAAUCUACUUCACUGUUGUCCAGUGCUCUUUGCCCAGAUUGGAGAGAAAUCGACUAACUACUCCAACUGCAUGAGCAAUAUCUGGUCUUGUACAAACCAUGGCGUACAUAAGACCACCAACUGCUGAAGCAUAAAGAACUUCUUUCAUCUCUUUCUUCUCUUUCUCACUUGUGGGACAAUGCUCAGAACUAAGCUUGAAAUGGCCUGCAAGUGGAGAACAAACAGAUUUUGCCUUGCUCAUGUUAAGUCUUUCAAGAACCCUUUCAACAUAUGCUUCUUGAGAUAACCAUAACUUCCAAACUUUUCUAUCGCGGGAAAUCUUCAUGCCAAGAAUUUGUUUCGCCGGUCCCAAGUCCUUCAUUACAAAAGACUUGCUAAGUUCUCUCUUUAGAUUGUCAAUCUUACGAGCAUCCGGGCCAACAAUCAACAUGUCAUCUACAUAAAGCAAAAGAAUAAUGAAAUCAUUAUCUCCAAACUUCUUUAUAAAAACACAAUGGUCGCACAUAGUCUUGCUGAAACCAUGAUUCUCCAUAAAAGAAUCAAACUUCUUGUACUAUUGUCUUGGUGCUUGUUUCAGCCCAUACAAACUUUCUUUAACUUGCACACAAGUUCUUCUUUGCCUUUGACAUUGGACCCUUCAGGUUGCUCCAUGUAUAUUUCCUCCUCGAAGUCACCAUGUAAGAAAGUUGUCUUUAUAUUAAGUUGUUCAGUGUCUAAGUUCAAGUUAGCUGUUAAUCCUAGAACAACUCGGAUAGACGACAUCUUCACCAUAAGAGAAAAUAUUUCUUUAAAGUCAACACAUUUCUUUUAAUCGAAACAUUUCACAACCAAUCUAGCCUUGUAUCACUAUUGUGAGUUAUUUUCAUUCUUCAACCUAUUAAACCAUUUGUUCUUUAGUGCCAUCUUUCCUUUAGGAAGCUUUACUAAGUCAUAAGUAUGGUUUUCAUUCAAGCAUUUCAUCUCCUCUUGCAUGACUUUAACCCACUCGCUUUUAUGUUGGUGAGAUAUGGCUUAUGCAAAACGUUCUGGCUCCCCUUCAUCUGUAAGCAUCACAUACUUAUGUGGAGGAUAUCUAGUGGAAGGUCGUCGUUCUCUGGUAGAUCUUCUUAAUUCUGGCUCAAUUGGUGGUGCAGGUGAUUUUGGAGGUCCCUGGUCAACUAGUUCUGUUGGACUAUCAUUAUUAGUCUCUCCAGCUCCCUCAUGAUCAUUAUGAACUACAGCUGGAGAAACUGAAGUUGGAAUUAUAGGAAUCUCUGGAGAUGACUGAGGCUCGUUACUCUUCUCUGCAUUACCAAAUAUAUGAUCUUCAAGGAAUAUAACCUCUCUACUAAUUUUCUUACCACUAGAUCCCAUAAUAUGUACCCAAAUUCUUUAUGCCCAUAGCCUAAGAAAAUGCAUUCUUUGGCUUUAUCAUCAAGCUUCGAUCUAUCAUCUUUUGGGAUAUGAACAUAUGCUCUAUAACCAAACACUCUUAAGUGUUUAUGAGAGACAUCUUUUCCAGUCCAAACUCUUUCAGGUAUAUUGCUAUCUAAUGGAGCUGAAGGAGAAAGGUUAAUCAAAUCAACUAUAGUAUGCAUAACCUCUGCCUAGAAAGAUUUAGGAAGCUUAGCAUCACAGAGCAUACACUUGACCCUUUCUUCAAUUGCUUUGUUCAUCCUUUCUGCAACACUAUUCUGCUGCGGGGUUUUUGGUACAGUCUUCUCAAGUCUUAUUCCAUGGGAUCUGCAAUACUGCUCAAAUGGUCCUUUGUACUCACCACCAUUAUCUGCCCUGAUGCAUUUUAAUUUUUUUCUUAUCUCUCUCUCAACAUAAGCAUGGAAGAAUUUAAAUUGUCAAGCACCUGGUCUCUGAAUUUCAAAGUAAAAGCUUACACUUUUCUAGAACAAUUAUCAAUAAAAGUCACAAAAUAAAGUGUAUCUCCUAUUAAUCUACUCUGCAUCAUGCAAACAUCUGUGUGAAUCAAAUCAAGUAUUUCUGACUAUCUAGAUGGAGAAAAAUUUUUAAAAACUACUUUGUGUGUCUUUCCAGCUAAGCAAUGAAUACAAGUCUUGAGAGACACACCUAUGAAGCUGGGUAGAAAUCUUUUUCUGACAAGGGUUUCCAACCCUUUCUCACCAAUAUGACCAAGCCUUUUAUGCUAUGUCUCAAUGGCAUAAUUUUUUACAGCCACAUUCACAUCUUUUUUCUUAAUCUUGGCUUCUAACAUAUAGAGGGUGUUUACUUUUUUCCUCUUAGCUAACACUAGGGAACCUUUGAUAAGCUUCUAUUUUCCUUUCACCAAAUGGGUUAGUAUAGCCAUCAUCACCAAGCUUGCCUAAUAUCAGGCACAUGUCUGACAUAAUUAAGCAACAAUUUACAACCGAUGUUGGUUUCCAAGCAAAUAUCACCUAUGCCCCCUUAUUUCCCAUCUGAACAUGGCCAUAAUCACUAUUAACAUCGGAUGUGAAGCUAUCACGACGUGCAGUAAUAUGAAAUGAAGCACCUGAAUCAAUCACCCAAUCACUGGUAUGGCAAGCGAGAUUUAUUAAACUCUCAUAUAAACAAUACCCAAAUCACCAUCAAGUAUGGCUGCAGUGUUCUCUUUGUCAUUUUUCUAAGCAUCACCCUUUUCUUUCACCUGUUCUCUUUUCCACAUUCUACACUCCCUUUUAACGUGACCCAUUUUCUGACAAUGAAAGCACUUGAGGUUUCUCCUCUAGGACUUAGAUGAUCAUUGUUUUGUUGGCAGAAAUUUAUACUUUGGCUUCUUCCCCGUUUUUCUUACUUUUCUGAAACAAGUGCUUCUGACUCAGAGGAAACUGCUUCAACAUUCUUUCUUCUAGAUUCUUCAUUCUGUAACCAUAUACAAAGUUAAUUUCUCAUUCGACGCUGAAUUAUUCACUGACACCACUAAUGUCUCUCGUUAGGCAAAGAACUAAGCAAUAAUAAUACUUGUAACUCAUCAUCUAAUAUACUUUUUAUAGCAGUUAACUAAUCAAGCAAGCACUGAAACUCACUAGUGUGUUCAGUUAUAUUGCGCCCCUCCUUUUAUUUCAAGUUAACAAGCCUUUUCAUCAAAUUGACUUUAUUCUGUAUUGUCGGCUGCUCAUAAAUUGUCUAUAAUUUUCUCCAAAAAAAAAUUCAACCUUAGAUUCUUUUGCUAUAUGGUGGUACACACUUUGAUCAAUCAGUGGCUUAAUAGUACCCACAACCUUCUGGUUUUAUUGAAUCCAUUUCUUAUCAUCUAAAUCGGCGGGUCUAACUUCUUCGCUUUUAAUGGGUUCAUAUAAGUCUUUCAUGUAUAACAAAUCCUCCAUUCUAGACUUUCAAAUACCAUAAUUCCAUGAUUUUAGUUUAAUCAUGCAUGCCAAGGACUUCUCCAUUUAACCACACAAACAAUUAAAAAUACAAAACUUGACGCUCUGAUACCACUCAGUUGGGAAAUAGACUGCCACAAGCAGCUGCAAAUUAAGUAGAAACAAAACUCUUUCCCUCUUUGUGUGAUUAAAAUAGGAUGUGCACCACAAAUAAAUAGGCAGAAAAAUAAAUCAAUAAAUCCAAAGUAAAAUUCAACCACAAGAGAUACAAGAUUAUAGUCUGAUAUAAUCUUCCACUAUAUUAAUGGAUUAUAGCACAAAUUCUUCUCUAGAUAAUAGUAGAGGCUGCCAACAUCAAGAAUCUCAAUAAUCUUAGCUUACAGUAAUAACCUAAUAAUUAUCUCUCCAACAAGUAUGUAUUUCAAAUAAUAGCCAAAGAGAGAAUAAAAUCAAAAUCAAGACCAGUAGGAUUCUAGAGGGCGAUGCCAAGAACUUACCCUCAAAAUUUGAGAGAAAUUGGAGUUAAUUUUACCUUCCAAUCGUCUAAUUAAAGAUUAAAAUCACUAUUAUCAAAUGAAAGCAUCUAUUGUCUUUUCUCUCUCUCUCUCUCACCACUUGUUCACGCUCUAAAUUAUCCAAGGCAACGGCUUUCACUUGCUUUUAUAGGCAAAUUUCAUUCUCCCCUUUAAGUCUCUUUUAAUUACUUAAUUGUCCAAACCUGUUAAACUUUAGGCUUUUGGACCCCCAAAUGAGAUGGAGCCAAUAGAUACAAUGAUUUAGUUUUACUUACAACAUUGCAUAGAAAAUCAAUACAAUAUUCACUAAAUGCUUGUAGAAAGUGCAGAAAGGUGCUGAUAGGGUCUCGUAUCAGAAGACAUGAUGACUUUAUUUUUACUCACAACACAAUGAUUUUACCCACAACAAAACCUAGGAACUACAUGCAAUUGCAAAAUCGGUACUAAGAAGGCAGAAUACCAAAACCCUUUAUGAAGGUUUCCACGAAGACAAAGGUGGAGUAUCAGAAUCCUCGUAGGUACGGGUGACACCCCCAUACCGAUGACUCCUGACAGCAUCAGCUGAAGCAAUGGAUUCAAGCUCAGCAAUUUCUUCUGGAGUAAGUUUCAGUGACAGAGCUUUAAUAUUUUGAUUGAG
rnacentral:lncRNA from 1 species